UACGUAGGCAGCUAGCGUUGUCCGGAGUUAUUGGGCGUAAAGAGCGUGUAGGCGGUGCCCUAAGUCUGGCGUGAAAUCUCCCGGCUCAACUGGGAGGGUGCAUCGAAAACUGCGGUGCUCGAGGGUGGGAGAGGUAAGCGGAAUUCCUGGUGUAGCGGUGAAAUGCGUAGAUAUCAGGAGGAACACCAGUGGUGUAGACAGCUUACUGGACCGCUUCUGACGCUGAGACACGAAAGCGUGGGUAGCAAACAGG
rnacentral:rRNA from 1 species